GAGGAAGAAGUUCAAGAAGCUGUGGUUUGGAACGAAGAAAGGCAACGCAACCACAAAUAUAUAAAGUGGUGUGCAUCGAAAAUAAAGUGGAGCUAUCCUUCCAGGACUGAAAAGAAAGAAAGAAGAUAAAAAGCAAGAUAUUGGCUGCUGAAUGACUGACUGAUUGAUGAGAUCAGCAUCUUUCCAAGGGAUCUGGAUCUGGAUCUGA
rnacentral:lncRNA from 1 species